rnacentral:siRNA from 1 species
CCCAAGAAUAACAUCUGCUACA